UGGAAAGUUUAUACAGUUUAUAAAGAAGACUAUUUCUCUUACAUUCCUCUAUGAUAUCUUUUCCUCAGCUUUAGCUGGGUCGUUGGCCUUGGUUGGUCAAGGUCUUUUUAGUCCGCUUGUAGCCAGAGUGUACAAUCGAGUGGGGCCUCGUACAACGACCAUAAUUGGGGUCAUUAUCUGCUCAGGGGCCCUUCUGGUGACCUCACAAGGAUCCAACAUGUACAUCAUCUUAGUAACGUACGGAGGCUUCUUUGGUUUUGGUUCAUGUUUUGUAUUCUUCCCUACGUAUCUGGUAAUACCUUCAUACUUCGUCAAAAGACGUUCGUUUGCAUUGGGGCUUCUUGCUAUGGGCCCUGGAGGAGGCUUGUUCGUAAUAAGCUCCAUCGUGGAGGCCCUUCUUAAUGUGCUCCAUUGGAGACGGACGUUCAUGAUCCUGGCUGGGUUGGUGGUGGUCAUCAUUCCCCUUGUGUGUACUAUUCGACGUGUUCCAAAUGUGGAGGAACAGUCAGCGAGCAAUGGCGUUGAGCAAAAAGGCACAUGUUGUGAACGAACGCUUUCACCCUUCAGAAACAAGCGCUUUGACGUCAUUACGCUGUCAAUGGGCUUGUAUUACGCUGUACACUAUAUCCCGCUAGUCCACAUGGGUCGCUACUGCGAAGACUUAGGAAUGUCACAAACCCAAGCUUCCAGACUCUACCUUUACAGUGGAUUGACGUCAUUGUUAUUCCGUCCUGUGAUUGGUAGACUGUGUGACGUUCAAUGGAUUGACGCGUGUUAUGUUUAUCAGCUGGCAGCGUUCAUCAAUGGAGUCGCAACGUUACUGUUACCGCUAGCCAGGACAUAUCCUCACUUUGUUUUGUACUUUGUUGUUUGGGGAUUUGCCGAUGGAACAAAUGGCUGCUCCGUGUGUGUCGCCAUUAUCGCUUGUUUUACGAGCAAGCAGAGGAAUAUUGGGCUGAGUGUUAGCUUUACCAUCACCUGUGUUGUGGCUGCCGCUGGCCCCGCACUUGGAGGUCUCCUAGCGGAUGAGUCUGGUUCCUACGUUCCGACAUUUUACAUGACGGGAACUGUAAUUGUUGUCAGCGCUGCAGUCAUUUUGCUACUCCCGUUUGUUAAGUCGAAAAACCAAAGAAUAGAUUCAAACUCGGACGAGAUAUUUAUGGUUGUGGAAAAAUGCACAGCUGUUUGAUGUCACUGUACGUCACAAAAAAACAAUAUUUAAAUAGAUUAAUAUAUUUGAUUUAAAAACUAUAGAAGUCUAACUUCUUGCAAUCCAUAUUUUUUUCCGUUGUCAGUCUUUUAAUUUUACCACAAUCCCUUUUGCCGUAUAUCUUGUUUUUAAAUUCACGCGUCAAGUUUGCAAGUGCAAAAAUAGCUGUACACAAUAAAAAGUUUGUGGGUUCAUACGAUGGUAUUCAUUUCUCCCGUUUUGUGAUUGAUUGGUUGAAAAGCGUGCGAACUUAAAAUUUGCCACCAAGCUGUGACGUUUUGUCAGUGAUUAGCUUGUAUUUCUAAUCCAUAUUCAUGCCAAUUCAUGCCACAUGGUAGCGUUUUCCACAAACUAAGUUGUUCGAUGUUGUGUGAAGAAGUGUCGUCCCGUAAGGUGAUUUGGUGCCCUUGAAAGAAGAAGAUACUUGAGUCAAUGGGGACAAAGCCAUGGAAAACAUAUUCAUGCUGUUCUAAAACCAAAGGAAAACUAACUUGGUGUAGUGCAGAGUGAAGUCAACAAUCUGGGCAAGGACAAGCUUGGAUCACUGAAUCCUGAGGGAAUACUUCAAAGAUAAGAACUUUAAAAUUAUCAAAUACUUGUAGUUAAAAUAGUGGCUGAUGAAAUGUUUGAAUUUGUAAAGGAAUGUCGCCAUUUGGCUCUACGAGAUCGGAUGUAUGAAUUGUCUGUAUCGAGGAAAAAAGUAAUGAAAUGUUUGAAUUUGUGAAAAAUCUCUCCAUUGGCUUUAUGACAUCGGAUGGACCAAUUGUCUAUGCUGAGGAAAAAAUUAAAAUGUUUAAAUUUAUAAAGGAGUGUCGCCACUGGCUUAACGACAUCUUAUGUACCAAUUGUCUUCACUAAGGGGAAAAAAAAAACAAA